ACUCCUACGGGAGGCAGCAGUAGGGAAUAUUGGUCAAUGGGCGAAAGCCUGAACCAGCCAUGCCGCGUGUCAGAUGAAGGUCCUCUGGAUUGUAAAUGACUUUUCUACGGGGAAGAAUGAGCCGUCUGCGGACGGAAGUUGACGGUACCGUAGGAAUAAGCACCGGCUAACUACGUGCCAGCAGCCGCGGUAAUACGUAGGGUGCAAGCGUUGUCCGGAUUUACUGGGUUUAAAGGGUACGUAGGCGGUUGUGCCAAGUCUGGGGUGAAAGUUUGCAGCUCAACUGUAAAAUUGCCUUGGAUACUGGUCGGCUAGAGUAGUGGAGCGGUGGCUGGAAUUUAUAGUGUAGCGGUGAAAUGCUUAGAUACUAUGAGGAACACCAAUUGCGAAGGCAGGUCACUGGUCACUAACUGACGCUGAGGUACGAAAGUGUGGGAUCAAACAGGAUUAGAUACCCUGGUA
rnacentral:rRNA from 1 species